AAACACAGCCAGCCCAUCAAUAGAAUAUCUAAACAUGUCAGAUUUCAAGCAUAUAAAAAUCAGAGAGUCAUACAUAUUUUUCAAUUUUGCCAUUUUGCAGGUAUACUUCUCAAAUUAAGAGAAGCUUAAAGGCUGGUCUACUUGAUUUUUAAAAUAUUUACGCAUAUGGUAUGUUGGUGCUCAGUGUUGUUGCAGAUCUCAGAGGAGCUGUGGCACACCUACCGGAAACCUCUUCUCUGCUGGAAGCUGUGGUACACCGACUCAGAAACCUCUUCUGUGCUGGGAGCCAUGGUAUGCCUACCUGGAAGCAUGACAUGCCUACCCAGAAGCCUCUUCUGUGCUGGGAGCUGUGGCACACUGACCCAGAAGCCUCCUCCACACUGGGACCCAUGGCAUGCUGACUUGCAAGCCUCCUCUCUGAUGGGAGCUUUGGCACACCUACCCAGAAUCCUCCUCUGCACUGGGUGUAAGAUGUUUAUUAAAUUCUGUCAUUACAUUUUUUUCCAGUGUUGAUUCCUUUUUGUUUUC
rnacentral:lncRNA from 1 species